rnacentral:rRNA from 1 species
AAAUUGAAGAGUUUGAUCAUGGCUCAGAUUGAACGCUGGCGGCAGGCCUAACACAUGCAAGUCGAACGGUAACAGGAAGCAGCUUGCUGCUUUGCUGACGAGUGGCGGACGGGUGAGUAAUGUCUGGGAAACUGCCUGAUGGAGGGGGAUAACUACUGGAAACGGUGGCUAAUACCGCAUAAUGUCGCAAGACCAAAGAGGGGGACCUUCGGGCCU